ACAAAUUUUUUUUGUAGACUUGAUUUAACUGUGGUGUAUGGCAGUGAUCGUUCUGGAAAAAUCCUACCUAGUAGUCCGACGAAAAUUCCCUUUCAUAACCCGCAGCAACCCAAGUUAAUCAGAAAAUUAAGAGGAAAUAUCAUGGCUACUGGUACCGUGAAAUGGUUUAACGAAUCGAAAGGCUUCGGCUUUAUCUCUCAGGACGAUGGCGGCAAAGACGUUUUCGUUCACUUCAGCGCGAUCACUGGCGACGGCUUCAAGACCCUGGCCGAAGGUCAGAAGGUAAGUUUUGAAGUGCAAGACGGUCCGAAGGGCCCUCAGGCAGCAAACGUCGUUCCGCAGUAAACUGUCGGAAUGAUCAUAAAAAGCCCCGCACAUGUGCGGGGCUUUUUUU
rnacentral:sRNA from 1 species